UCCUUGGUGUGCUCCCUAUUCUCCUUUGUUGUAUUUAAUGGUUCGACUUUGCCAAGGUAUCAGACAUUGCCUUAGGGACUAGAUUUAUACUCUAUGAAUAAUGGCCUGACGUUGAGUUCGCUCAGCUAAUGUUAAAAAAUGUAAGGUGUUUUAAAGUGUCUGUUUGUGUGAUCACGAAUGCUUUGGUCAGGAUAUGCAUAUAUGAUUGCUUGUGUGUGAGUGGCUGGAAUGGGCCCACUGGUCACCACUUGAUGAUCCAACUUAACACUAAUGAGAGACCCCUUGUGUCGCCUUCACCAAAUCCAUUCACUCAUCCUCCUAGAUGUAUUGUUCUGUCUGUGGGGAUUCUAACAGACCUCCAGGACCUCUCAGUGUCAACUGGUGAGGAUUAGUUGUCCCGGGACUUCAUUGGGGAAAAAAUUAUCGCCAGACCAGACAAUUUGUAAAUAAUAACCAAUGAUAGAUUAUAUAUAGUCCUCCAAAAUUUUUAUGAGCUCAUUGUAGUGCUGCUUGGCCUCAGACUUGGGUUGACGACAAGUUAACAUCAGAAAAUCGUACCAGUCUGCCCUA